rnacentral:lncRNA from 1 species
UUCCGCUUCCAGCGGCUCCAGGAGUUCUUCCACCUCAACCUCCCAGAUCCCUCGUUCUGUAGAUGAACCCGUAUCUGGGGCUGGGCUUCGCCCGACUUUUACGUCGGGCACCAUUCCAUGCUCUAUGACUCUGGAUGAACUCCUUCUGAUAAGGGUUCAGUAUGGAGUUCCUCCGGAGUACGACCUGAAGCUGCCUGGCCCCUCGAUCGGGCUAGC